ACUAUUUUGGCAGAAAAGUGUAAUGGGUUUAGAAGUCAUUAAUGUAUAAUUUAAUUAUAUAGGUAGUA
rnacentral:tRNA from 1 species